GGGCGGCGGCGCCGGGGGCCGCGGGCGGGCCGGGACGAGCGCCAAGGGCGCACCUGGCGGCGGCGCGGCCCGGCCGGACUGCCGGAGCAGGCGCGGCGGCGGCGCUGGUGGCGAGGAUGUCGCAGCCGCCUCUGCUCCCCGCCUCGGCGGAGACUCGGAAGUUCACCCGGGCGCUGAGUAAGCCGGGCACAGCGGCCGAGCUGCGGCAGAGCGUGUCGGAGGUGGUGCGCGGCUCAGUGCUCCUGGCCAAACCAAAGCUGAUUGAGCCACUCGACUAUGAAAAUGUCAUCGUCCAGAAGAAGACACAGAUCCUGAACGACUGUUUAAGGGAGAUGCUGCUCUUCCCUUAUGAUGACUUUCAGACGGCCAUCCUGAGACGACAGGGGCGGUACGUAUGCUCCACCAUCCCUGCCAACGCACAGCAGGAAGCUCAGAGCUUAUUUGUUACAGAGUGCAUCAAAACCUAUAACUCUGACUGGCAUCUUGUGAACUACAAAUAUGAAGAUUACUCAGGAGAGUUUCGACAGCUUCCAAACAAAGUGGCCAAGUUGGAUAAACUUCCAGUUCAUGUCUAUGAAGUUGAUGAGGAGGUGGACAAAGAUGAGGAUGCUGCUUCCCUCGGCUCUCAGAAGGGUGGGAUCACCAAGCACGGAUGGCUAUACAAGGGCAACAUGAACAGUGCAAUAAGCGUGACCAUGAGGUCGUUUAAAAGACGAUUUUUCCACUUGAUUCAACUUGGUGAUGGGUCCUACAAUUUGAAUUUUUAUAAAGAUGAAAAGAUCUCCAAGGAACCAAAAGGAUCAAUAUUUCUGGAUUCCUGUAUGGGUGUGGUUCAGAACAACAAAGUCAGGCGUUUUGCUUUUGAGCUCAAGAUGCAGGACAAAAGUAGUUACCUUUUGGCAGCAGACAGUGAAGUGGAAAUGGAAGAGUGGAUCACAACUCUGAACAAGAUUCUCCAGCUCAACUUCGAAGCUGCAAUGCAAGAAAAGCGAAACGGAGACUCUCACGAAGAUGAUGAACAAAGCAAAUUAGAAGGUUCCGUUUCCGGUUUAGAUAGCUACCUGCCUGAACUUGCCAAGAGUACCAGAGAAGCAGAAAUCAAACUGAAAAGUGAAAGCAGAGUUAAACUUUUUUACCUGGACCCAGAUGCCCAGAAGCUUGACUUCUCAUCAGCUGAGCCAGAAGUGAAGCCAUUUGAAGAAAAGUUUGGAAAAAGAAUUCUUGUCAAGUGCAAUGAUUUAUCUUUCAAUUUGCAAUGCUGUGUUGCUGAAAAUGAAGAAGGACCCACUACAAAUGUCGAGCCUUUCUUUGUUACUCUAUCCCUGUUUGACAUAAAAUACAACCGAAAGAUUUCUGCCGAUUUCCACGUGGACCUGAACCAUUUCUCAGUGAGGCAGAUGCUGGCCAUCACAUCCCCGUCUCUGAUGAACGGCGGUAGGCAGAGCUCGCCUGCCCUGCAGGACAUCCUUCACGAAGCCGCCAUGCAGUAUCCGAAGCAGGGAAUAUUUUCAGUCACGUGCCCUCAUCCUGAUAUAUUUCUUGUGGCUAGAAUUGAAAAAGUGCUUCAGGGGAGCAUCACACAUGGUGCGGAGCCAUACAUGAAAAGUUCAGACUCUUCCAAGGUUGCCCAGAAGGUGCUGAAGAAUGCCAAGCAGGCAUGCCAAAGACUAGGGCAGUACAGAAUGCCAUUUGCUUGGGCAGCAAGGACGUUGUUUAAGGAUGCAUCUGGAAACCUUGACAAAAAUGCCAGAUUUUCUGCUCUCUACAAGCAAGACAGCAAUAAGCUAUCCAAUGAAGACAUGCUCAAGUUACUUGCAGACUUUCGGAAACCUGAGAAGAUGGCUAAACUCCCCGUGAUUUUGGGCAAUCUAGACAUUACAAUUGAUAAUGUUUCCUCAGACUAUCCUAAUUAUGUCAAUUCAUCAUACAUUCCUACGAAGCAAUUUGAAACCUGUACUAAAAUGCCAAUCACGUUUGAGGUGGAGGAAUUUGUGCCCUGCAUACCAAAACAUACUCAGCCAUACACCAUCUACAACCACCACCUUUAUGUUUAUCCUAAGUCCUUGAAAUAUGACAGUCAAAAGUCUUUUGCCAAGGCUAGAAAUAUUGCUAUUUGCAUUGAAUUCAAAGAUUCAGAUGAGGAAGACUCUCAGCCUCUGAAGUGCAUUUAUGGCAGACCUGGCGGGCCAGUAUUCACAAGAAGCGCCUUUGCUGCAGUUUUACACCAUCACCAAAACCCAGAAUUUUAUGAUGAGAUUAAAAUAGAAUUGCCCACCCAGCUACAUGAAAAGCACCACUUGCUGUUCACAUUUUUCCACGUCAGCUGUGAUAAUUCAAGCAAAGGAAGCACAAAGAAGAAGGAUGUUGUUGAAACACAAGUUGGAUAUUCCUGGCUUCCUCUCCUGAAAGAUGGAAGGGUGGUGACUAGCGAGCAGCACAUCCCUGUCUCAGCCAAUCUCCCGUCCGGCUACCUUGGCUACCAGGAGCUUGGGAUGGGCAGGCAUUAUGGUCCAGAAAUUAAAUGGGUAGAUGGAAACAAGCCACUGCUGAAAGUUUCAACUCAUCUGGUUUCCACAGUGUAUACUCAGGAUCAGCACUUGCAUAAUUUUUUCCAGUACUGUCAGAAAACCGAAUCCGGAGCCCAAGCCUUAGGGAGUGAACUUGUAAAAUACCUUAAGAGCCUGCACGCGAUGGAAGGUCACGUGAUGAUCGCCUUCUUGCCCACCAUCCUAAACCAGCUAUUCCGUGUCCUCACCCGAGCAACCCAGGAGGAAGUCGCCGUCAACGUGACACGGGUCAUUAUUCAUGUGGUUGCCCAGUGCCAUGAGGAAGGAUUGGAGAGCCACUUGAGGUCAUAUGUUAAGUAUGCUUAUAAGGCUGAGCCGUAUAUUGCUUCUGAAUACAAGACGGUGCACGAAGAGCUGACCAAAUCCAUGACCACAAUUCUCAAGCCUUCCGCCGAUUUCCUCACCAGCAACAAACUACUUAAGUAUUCAUGGUUUUUCUUUGAAGUUUUGAUCAAAUCCAUGGCUCAGCAUUUGAUAGAGAACUCCAAAGUUAAGUUAUUGCGAAACCAGAGAUUUCCUGCAUCCUAUCAUCAUGCAGUGGAAACUGUUGUGAAUAUGCUGAUGCCACACAUCACUCAGAAGUUUCGAGAUAACCCAGAGGCAUCUAAGAAUGCGAAUCAUAGCCUGGCUGUGUUCAUCAAGAGAUGUUUCACCUUCAUGGAUAGGGGCUUUGUCUUUAAGCAGAUCAACAACUACAUCAGCUGCUUUGCUCCUGGAGAUCCUAAGACCCUCUUUGAAUACAAAUUUGAAUUUCUCCGUGUGGUGUGCAAUCAUGAACAUUAUAUUCCGUUGAAUUUACCAAUGCCAUUUGGAAAAGGCAGGAUUCAAAGAUAUCAAGAUCUCCAGCUUGACUACGCAUUAACGGAUGAGUUCUGCAGAAACCACUUCUUGGUGGGACUGUUACUGAGGGAGGUGGGGACCGCCCUCCAGGAGUUCAGGGAGGUCCGGCUGAUUGCCAUCGCUGUGCUUAAGAACCUGCUGAUAAAGCAUUCUUUUGAUGACAGAUAUGCUUCCAGGAGCCAUCAAGCAAGGAUAGCCACUCUCUACCUGCCUCUGUUCGGUCUGCUGAUUGAGAAUGUCCAGCGGAUCAACGUGAGAGAUGUGUCUCCCUUCCCCGUGAACCCUGGCAGUACUGUGAAGGAGGAAUCCCUUACUUUGCCAGCCGUGAACCCGAUAGUGACACCGCAGAAGUCUGGGAGCACGCUGGAUGCCAGUCUGCACAAGGACCUCUUUGGUGCCAUCUCUGGCAUUGCUUCUCCAUAUACAAACUCAACUCCAAACAUCAGUAGUGUGAGAAAUGCUGAUUCAAGAGGAUCCCUCAUAAGCACAGAUUCCGGGAACAGCCUUCCAGAAAGGAAUAGUGAGAAGAGCAAUUCCCUGGAUAAGCACCAGCAAAGUGGCACUUUGGGAAAUUCUCUCGUUCGCUGUGACAAACUUGACCAGUCUGAGAUUAAGAGCCUGCUGAUGUGUUUCCUCUACAUCUUAAAAAGCAUGUCUGAUGAUGCUUUGUUUACAUAUUGGAACAAGGCCUCAACAUCUGAACUUAUGGAUUUUUUUACAAUAUUGGAAGUCUGCUUGCACCAGUUCCAGUACAUGGGGAAGCGAUAUAUUGCCAGGAACCAGGAGGGGUUGGGACCCAUAGUUCAUGAUCGAAAAUCUCAGACAUUGCCUGUUUCCCGUAACAGAACAGGAAUGAUGCAUGCCAGAUUGCAGCAGCUGGGCAGCCUGGAUAACUCUGUCACUUUUAACCACAGCUAUGGCCACUCGGACGCAGAUGUUCUCCACCAGUCGUUACUUGAAGCCAAUAUUGCUACUGAGGUGUGCCUGACAGCUCUGGACACCCUCUCUCUAUUUACACUGGCAUUUAAGAACCAGCUCCUGGCUGACCAUGGACAUAAUCCCCUCAUGAAAAAGGUUUUUGACGUCUACCUGUGUUUUCUUCAAAAACAUCAGUCUGAAACGGCUUUAAAAAAUGUCUUCACUGCCUUAAGGUCGUUAAUCUAUAAGUUUCCCUCAACGUUCUAUGAGCGGAGAGCGGACAUGUGUGCAGCCCUGUGCUAUGAGAUCCUGAAAUGCUGCAACUCCAAGCUGAGCUCCAUCAGGACCGAGGCCUCCCAGCUGCUGUACUUCCUGAUGAGGAACAACUUCGACUACACUGGCAAGAAGUCCUUUGUCCGGACGCAUCUGCAGGUCAUUAUUUCCGUCAGCCAGCUGAUAGCAGACGUCGUUGGCAUUGGGGGAACCAGAUUCCAGCAGUCCUUGUCUAUCAUCAACAACUGUGCCAACAGUGACAGGCUGAUCAAGCACACCACCUUCUCCUCGGACGUGAAGGACCUGACCAAAAGGAUCCGCACAGUUCUGAUGGCCACGGCCCAGAUGAAGGAGCACGAGAAUGACCCCGAGAUGCUGGUGGACCUCCAGUACAGCCUGGCCAAGUCCUACGCCAGCACCCCCGAGCUCCGGAAGACGUGGCUGGACAGCAUGGCCCGGAUCCAUGUCAAAAACGGGGACCUGUCCGAGGCAGCAAUGUGCUAUGUCCAUGUCACAGCCCUGGUGGCAGAAUAUCUCACACGGAAAGAAGCAGACCUAGCCCUCCAGCUGGAGCCGUCCUUCCUCCCCUCCAGCCACAGCAUCUGCCAGAGGAGGCGCCGGGGAGGCAUGUUUAGACAAGGAUGCACAGCUUUCAGGGUGAUCACCCCGAACAUAGAUGAGGAGGCCUCCAUGAUGGAAGACGUCGGCAUGCAGGACGUCCACUUCAACGAGGACGUGCUCAUGGAGCUCCUGGAACAGUGUGCAGACGGACUCUGGAAGGCCGAGCGCUAUGAGCUGAUCGCCGACAUUUAUAAGCUCAUCAUCCCCAUCUACGAGAAGCGGAGGGAUUUUGAGAGGCUGGCCCAUCUGUAUGAUACACUGCACCGAGCCUACAGCAAGGUGACCGAGGUCAUGGCACUCAGGCCGAAGGCUUCUGGGGGACAUACUUCCGAGUAGCCUUCUUCGGACAGCAAUACCAGUUUACAGACAGUGAAACAGAUGUGGAGGGAUUCUUUGAGAUGAAGAUGGAAAGGAGUAUAUCUACAAGGAACCCAAACUCACACACCUCUGUCAGAAAUUUCUCAGAGACUCCUUAAACUUUACUCAGA